rnacentral:rRNA from 1 species
AUUUGGAGAGGAUGCUUCUGGCGCGGCGCCGUCCGAGUUCCUUGGAACAGGACGCCAUAGAGGGUGAGAGCCCCGUACGGGCGGCCGCCUAGCCUUUGUGAAGCUCCUUCGACGAGUCGAGUAGUUUGGGAAUGCUGCUCAAAAUGGGAGGUAAAUUUCUUCUAAAGCUAAAUACCGGCCAGAGACCGAUAGCGCACAAGUAGAGUGAUCGAAAGAUGAAAAGCACUUUGAAAAGAGGGUUAAAAAGUACGUGAAAUUGUUGAAAGGGAAGCGCCUGUGACCAGACUUGCGGCCCGCGGAUCAUCCGGUGUUCUUCACCGGUGCACUCCGCGUGCCGCAGGCCAGCAUCGGUUUUCCUGGGGGGAGAAAGGUCGCGGGAACGUAGCUCUUUCGGGAGUGUUAUAGCCCGUGGCGUCAUGCCCCCGGGGGGACCGAGGACCGCGCUUCGGCAAGGAUGCUGGCGUAAUGGUCACCGGCGACCCGUCUUGAAACACGGACCAAGGAGUCAAGCAUUGGGGCGAGUGUCUGGGUGCCAAACCCGCACGCGAAAUGAAAGUAAACGCAGGUGAGAGCUUCGGCGCAUCACCGACCGAUCCUGAUGUCUUCGGAUGGAUUUGAGUAAGAGCCUUACCGCUUGGACCCGAAAGAUGGUGAACUAUGCCUGUAUAGGGUGAAGCCAGAGGAAACUCUGGUGGAGG